GAGAGAUGAGAGACAUGUAUACAGUGAGAACACUCAGUUCCAUAAACUUUGUGUUGCUUCGUGCUUCGUGCUUCAUGUUGAUUCAUGAUUUAUCUGUAUAGAAACGAAGAGAGUAAACUAUGGAAAA